rnacentral:rRNA from 1 species
AGAGUUUGAUCAUGGCUCAGAUUGAACGCUGGCGGCAUGCCUAACACAUGCAAGUCGCGCGGGCGGUAGCAAUACCGUUAGCGGCGGACGGGUGAGGAACACAUAGGAAUCUGCCUCAGAGCGGGGGAUAGCCCAGGGAAACUUGGAGUAAUACCGCAUGAUGUCGCAAGACCAAAGCCGGGGACCGCAAGGCCUGGCACUCUGAGAGGAGCCUAUGUCUGAUUAGCUAGUUGGUGGGGUAAUGGCCCACCAAGGCGACGAUCAGUAACUGGUCUGAGAGGACGAUCAGUCACACUGGAACUGAGACACGGUCCAGACUCCUACGGGAGGCAGCAGUGGGGAAUAUUGGACAAUGGGCGCAAGCCUGAUCCAGCAAUGCCGCGUGUGUGAAGAAGGCCUUCGGGUUGUAAAGCACUUUAAGCAGGGAAGAAAACGCUCAGGCUAAUAUCCUGAGUCUUGACGGUACCUGAAGAAUAAGCACCGGCUAACUCUGUGCCAGCAGCCGCGGUAAUUC